CGAAACCUAACCACUAGGAGGAGUUUGUGCUGAUUUGGAUAAGUAUUAGGAAUACAUCAGUUUGAACAAUCAGUUUCCUGAUUUAUGACAGUUGACAUGAGUGCAUAUUCUGUUGAACAGCAAUUGAUUAUCACACUAUCUUGCAUGAAAAAUUACAUACUGGUAUUACAAUGAUGAAUAUUAUAAAUUGAUUCCAAGAAUGGUUUGGUGUUCUGCUGUCCCCAAGAAUGACAUUACAAUGGGAAAAGUGUGCAUUUCAAGCAAGGAGUUGAAUGAUUGAGUGUGAAAUGGAAAAAUCCAUGACAAGAAUGGAAACUUGCAUCAACAUGCAAACAUCUGUGGAGCAGUCUCGAAUGAAAUCAACAACAAAAUGUUCAGCUGAACUUGGCAUACCCUGUAUAAUGAUGCAACAUCAUAUGAAAAAAGAUUUAGACUUAAAACUAUUUCAACCACUUUGUGUUAACAAACUCAGUUAUGCUGAUAUAGAUGCUUUGUACAAUACUUGUGUUGUGCUUCUCUAAAGAUUUUUUUCAGAAUAUGAUCACAAUAAUAAUAUAUUCACAGAUGGGUUCACAAUUUACUGAAAUUCCAGAAAUCACAGUAUUGUGUUUUCAACUAAAGACAAUCUCCAUUUCUCACAGAAAGUGGAGGAGAAUCUAUCACACAUGAUCUGGACCAGCAUGACCACAAAAGCACAUUAUUGAACCUUAGUUUUUUUUGAUGGUCCUUUAAUGGGUAGUCAUAUAAAGAGAUGUUUCUACAAUGGCUCUAUGUGCAGCUCAAAGCAGUUUGAAUAGCAGAUACCAUAAUCCUGCAACAAGAUGGAGUUUUGCACAUUUUGCUAUCAGAGUUUGAAAAUGCCUUAAUGAAUUGUUUUAAGACAAGUGGAUUGGUGCAGAUUGGAGACAACACAGGCCCCCUGGCCUAGCCACCAAGGAGCGCUGACUUGUCCACUCUAGACAAUACUUUGUGAAGUUUCAUUAAGGAUAAAGUUAGUCAACAAUACUACUAAACAAGAACCAAACUGCAUACUGCUGUGACAGAAGCAUUCAGAAGUAUCACAGAUGGAUUUUCUUUGCAAAACAUCUCAUUGAAUGUGAUAUCAAUUCAGUUUAGUUAUGAUAACAGAUGCUCAUACAGAUAUUCUGGACAUACAGUGUUCAAUACAUGUUAUAAAAUAAAGCAAAUGACAAUGUCUGUUUUACU
rnacentral:lncRNA from 1 species